rnacentral:lncRNA from 10 species
CCCGGGAGAGCCCCUGACAGCCGCCCCAAGUCCGCCCUGCCGAACGCAACUCCGCCCGCACGCGCUGCCGCCCCAGCCCCCGCGGCAGCUCCGCUUCCACCAGGCAAUUUGCUUUUUUUCUCCUUUUUCAUAAGGAUGCAAUUUUCUGCGUGCUUUAAGGACAUUAGAAGGGCGUUUGACUGACGCGCCAUGCGAAACGCAUUAGCGAGGCUCGUGCUGCGCAUGGCAGGCGGCGCCGCCCGUGCAAGGGGCAGGUGGAGGCCGAGGUAGGGGAGGACACGCAGAGGGACUCGACCCCGAGGGAGCUGGGACCGAGACACGGGGCUUUUAUCUGAACAACAGGAUAGCUGCAAAGCGAGGUUUAAGACCAGCUAAGAGUAGAGACUUUCAGAGGACCCUGCCCAGCUCAGAGCUUCUGGAAUCCUCACGUUCCCCUUCAAGCAGCCACUGGCUUUGCGUCAAUCAUGCAGCAGCCUCCCUGGUGUGUAACAGGGAGGAGGAGGAGGAAGGAAGAGGGAAAGAAAGGAGGAGAAAGCAAGGAGGAUCGCACACCGUCUGAUGCCCGGUCUGUGUAAUGCUGGCAGCAGCUAUUCAGAGGCUGGGAUGGCUGCCUGCAUUUCCUGAUCUUCAAGGAGACCUUGGACAUCCUGUGAACAUAAGAAAGCAGAAUCCCUUCUAAAGAAGGGACAGCGUGCUUCAUUGUGAAGGGGCCCCGCUGGGCAGCUCAGCGGGUUCUUGGAGGCCCAGUCCACAUGGAGCUCCUGUGCUCUUGCUGAUGGGGGAUGCGCAAGGCCGGAGAAAGAGGAGGAGGAGGAGGAGGAGGCAGCGGCAGCAGCAGCAGAAACCAGCAUCAUAGUCAGGGAGUGAGUGGGGCUGUGGGAGAAGCGCAAGUGUGGAUGCCCUUUACAUAUCAUUUAUUUGUUCAUUCAUUCAUGUAUUCAUUUCCUCAUUCACUUAUUUGAUCUUACAAUAAGAAGUUAUUCGUGCCUUAUUUGUACACCCAUGUUCGUAGCAGCAUGAUUCACAAUAGCCAAAGGGUGGAAGCAUCUUGAGUGUCUAUCAG